rnacentral:lncRNA from 1 species
CAUUUGGGUCUUUUCCUUAUACUACGGUCAAAACUAGAGCCGAAAUAGCUCAGUUGGGAGAGCGUUAGACUGAAGAUCUGAAGGUCCCUGGUUCAAUCCCGGGUUUCGGCAAUCAAGUGGAAAACCUAGUAACUCACUCGUGGCUCAAAGCAUGGUCGACAUUUUCCCCAUUCAAUUCAAACCUAUGCUAUUGAAAAUACAUUUCUUCUCGGUCUUUCGUGUAAACUACCGUCGAACCGAUCGGGAGCCGAAAUAGCUCAGUUGGGAGAGCGUUAGACUGAAGAUCUAAAGGUCCCUGGUUCAAUCCCGGGUUUCGGCAAUGGGGCGAAAACAGAGUAACUCCCUCGUGGCUCAAGGCAUGAUCAACAUUUUCCCCUUUCAAUUCAAAGCUUUACCAUUCAAAAUAUGUUUCUUCUCGCUCUUUCGUAUAAACUAUGGUCGUACUGUUCCAGAGCCGAAAUAGCUCAGUUGGGAGAGCGUUAGACUGAAGAUCUAAAGGUCCCUGGUUCAAUCCCGGGUUUCGGCAAUCAAGUGGAUAACUGAGUAACUCCCUCGUGGCUCAAGACAUGAUCAACAUUUUCCCCAUUCAAUUCAAAGCUAUGCUAUUGAAAAUACGUUUCAUUUCGGUCUUUUCGUCAAACUACGGUAGAUCUAUUCCAGAGCAGAAAUAGCUCAGUUGGGAGAGUGUUAAACUGAAGAUCUAAAGGUCCCUGGUUCAAUCCCGGGUUUCGGCAAUCAAGUGGAUAACCAAGUAACUCCCUCGUGGCUCAAGGCAUGAUCAGCUUUUCCCACUUCAAUUCAAAGCUAUGCUAUUCAAAAUAUGUUUCUUCUCGCUCUUUCGUAUAAACUAUGGUCGAACUGUUCCAGAGCCGAAAUAGCUCAGUUGGGAGAGCGUUAGAAUAAAGAUCUAAAGGUCCCUCGUUCAAUCCCGGGUUUCGGCAAUGAGGGGAAACCGAGUAACUCCCUCGUGGCUCAAGGCAUGAUCAACAUUUUCCCCAUUCAAUUCAAAGCUAUGCUAUUGAAAAUACGUUUCAUUUCGGUCUUUUCAUUAAACUACGGUAGACCUAUUCCAGAGCCGAAAUAGCUCAGUUGGGAGAGCGUUAGAAUAAAGAUCUAAAGGUCCCUCGUUCAAUCCCGAGUUUCGGCAAUCAAGUGGAUAACCAAGUAACUCCCUCGUGGCUCAAGGCAUGAUCAACAUUUUCCCCAUUCAAUUCAAAGCUAUGCUAUUGAAAAUACGUUUCAUUUCGGUCUUUUCAUUAAACUACGGUAGACCUAUUCCAGAGCCGAAAUAGCUCAGUUGGGAGAGCGUUAGACUGAAGAUCUAAAGGUCCCUGGUUCAAUCCCGGGUUUCGGCAAUCAAGUGGAUAACCGAGUAACUCCCUCGUGGAUCAAGUCAUGAUCAACAUUUUCCCCAUUCAAUUCAAAGCUAUGCUAUUGAAAAUACGUUUCAUUUUGGUCUUUUCCUUAAACUACGGUUGAUCUAUUCCAGAGCCGAAAUAGCUCAGUUGGGAGAGCGUUAGACUGAAGAUCUAAAGGUCCCUGGUUCAAUCCCGGGUUUCGGCAAUCAAGUGGAUAAUCGAGUAACUCACUCGUACAUCAAGGCAUGAUCAACAUUUUCCCCAUUCAAUUCAAAGCUAUGCUAUUGAAAAUACGUUUCAUUUUGGUCUUUUCCUUAAACUACGGUCGAUGUAUUCCACAGCCGAAAUAACUCAGUUGGCAGAGCGUUAGACUGAAGAUCCAAAGGUUCCUGGUUCAAUCCCGGGUUUCGGAAAUCAAGUGGAUAACCGAGUAACUCCCUCGUAGAUCAAGGAAUGAUCAACAUUUUCCCCAUUGAAUUCAAAGCUAUGCUAUUGAAAAAACGUUUCAUUUGGGUCUUUUCCUUAAACUACGGUCAAUCUAUUCCAGAGCCGAAAUAGCUCAGUUGGGAGAGCGUUAGACUGAAGAUCUAAAGGUCCCUGGUUCAAUCCCGGGUUUCCGCAAUUAAGUGCAAAACCGAUCAACUCCCUGUGGCUCAAGGCAUGAUCCGCUUUUUCCCACUUCAAUUCAAAGGUAUGCUAUUCAAAAUAUGUUUCUUCUUGCUCUUUCGUAUAAACUAUGGUCGAAUUGUUCCAGAGCCGAAAUAGCUCAGUUGGGAGAGCGUUAGACUGAAGAUCUAAAGGUCCCUGGUUCAAUCCCGGGUUUCGGCAAUCAAGUGGAUAACCGAGUAACUCCCUGUGGCUCAAGGCAUGAUCCGCUUUUUCCCACUUCAAUUCAAAGGUAUGCUAUUCAAAAUAUGUUUCUUCUCGCUCUUUCGUAUAAACUAUGGUCGAACUGUUCCAGAGCCGAAAUAGCUCAGUUGGGACAGCGUUAGACUGAAGAUCUAAAGGUCCCUGGUUCAAUCCCGAGUUUCGGCAAUCAAGUGGAUAACCGAGUAACUCCCUCGUGGCUCAAGACAUGAUCAACAUUUUCCCCAUUCAAUUCAAACCUUUGCUAUUGAAAAUACGUUUCAUUUCAGUCUUUUCGUUAAACUACAGUAGACCUAUUCCAGAGCCGAAAUAGCUCAGUUGGGAGAGUGUUAAACUGAAGUUCUAAAGAUCCCUGGUUCAAUCCCGGGUUUCGGCAAUGAGGGGAAACCGAGUAACUCCCUCGUGGCUCAAGGCAUGAUCAGCUUUUCCCACUUCAAUUCAAAGCUAUGCUAUUCAAAAUAUGUUUCUUCUCGCUCUUUCGUAUAAACUAUGGUCGACCUGUUCCAGAGCCUAAAUAGCUCAGUUGGGAGAGCGUUAGAAUGAAGAUCUAAAGGUCCCUCGUUCAAUCCCGGGUUUCGGCAAUGAGGGGAAACCGAGUAACUCCCUCGUGGCUCAAGGCAUGAUCAACAUUUUCCCCAUUCAAUUCAAAGCUAUGCUAUUGAAAAUACGUUUCAUUUCGGUCUUUUCCUUAAACUACGGUAGACCUAUUCCAGAGCCGAAAUAGCUCAGUUGGGAGAGCGUUAGACUGAAGAUCUAAAGGUCCCUGGUUCAAUCCCGGGUUUCGGCAAUCAAGUGGAUAACCGAGUAACUCCCUUGUGGAUCAAGUCAUGAUCAACAUUUUCCCCAUUCAAUUCAAAGCUAUGCUAUUGAAAAUACGUUUCAUUUCGGUCUUUUCAUUAAACUACGGUAGACCUAUUCCAGAGCUGAAAUAGCUCAGUUGGGAGAGCGUUAGACUGAAGAUCUAAAGGUCCCUGGUUCAAUCCCGGGUUUCGGCAAUCAAGUGGAUAACCGAGUAACUCCCUCGUGGAUCAAGUCAUGAUCAACAUUUUCCCCAUUCAAUUCAAAGCUAUGCUAUUGAAAAUACGUUUCAUUUUGGUCUUUUCCUUGAACUACGGUCGAACUAUUCCAGAGCCGAAAUGGCUCAGUUGGGAGAGCGUUAGACUGAAGAUCUAAAGGUCCCUGGUUCAAUCCCGGGUUUCGGCAAUCAAGUGGAUAAUCGAGUAACUCACUCGUACAUCAAGGCAUGAUCAACAUUUUCCCCAUUCAAUUCAAAGCUAUGCUAUUGAAAAUACGUUUCAUUUUGGUCUUUUCCUUAAACUACGGUCGAUGUAUUCCACAGCCGAAAUAACUCAGUUGGCAGAGCGUUAGACUGAAGAUCCAAAGGUUCCUGGUUCAAUCCCGGGUUUCGGAAAUCAAGUGGAUAACCGAGUAACUCCCUCGUAGAUCAAGGAAUGAUCAACAUUUUCCCCAUUGAAUUCAAAGCUAUGCUAUUGAAAAACGUUUCAUUUGGGUCUUUUCCUUAAACUACGGUCAAUCUAUUCCAGAGCCGAAAUAGCUCAGUUGGGAGAGCGUUAGACUGAAGAUCUAAAGGUCCCUGGUUCAAUCCCGGGUUUCGGCAAUUAAAUGCAAAACCCAUCAACUCCCUGUGGCUCAAGGCAUGAUCAGCUUUUCCCACUUCAAUUCAAAGGUAUGCUAUUCAAAAUAUGUUUCUUCUUGCUCUUUCGUAUAAACUAUGGUCGAACUGUUCCAGAGCCGAAAUAGCUCAGUUGGGAGAGCGUUAGACUGAAGAUCUAAAGGUCCCUGGUUCAAUCCCGGGUUUCGGCAAUCAAGUGGAUAACCGAGUAACUCCCUGUGGCUCAAGGCAUGAUCCGCUUUUUCCCACUUCAAUUCAAAGGUAUGCUAUUCAAAAUAUGUUUCUUCUCGCUCUUUCGUAUAAACUAUGGUCGAACUGUUCCAGAGCCGAAAUAGCUCAGUUGGGACAGCGUUAGACUGAAGAUCUAAAGGUCCCUGGUUCAAUCCCGAGUUUCGGCAAUCAAGUGGAUAACCGAGUAACUCCCUCGUGGCUCAAGACAUGAUCAACAUUUUCCCCAUUCAAUUCAAACCUUUGCUAUUGAAAAUACGUUUCAUUUCAGUCUUUUCGUUAAACUACAGUAGACCUAUUCCAGAGCCGAAAUAGCUCAGUUGGGAGAGUGUUAAACUGAAGAUCUAAAGAUCCCUGGUUCAAUCCCGGGUUUCGGCAAUGAGGGGAAACCGAGUAACUCCCUCAUGGCUCAAGGCAUGAUCAGCUUUUCCCACUUCAAUUCAAAGCUAUGCUAUUCAAAAUAUGUUUCUUCUCGCUCUUUCGUAUAAACUAUGGUCGACCUGUUCCAGAGCCUAAAUAGCUCAGUUGGGAGAGCGUUAGAAUGAAGAUCUAAAGGUCCCUCGUUCAAUCCCGGGUUUCGGCAAUGAGGGGAAACCGAGUAACUCCCUCGUGGCUCAAGGCCUUAUCAGCUUUUCCCACUUCAAUUCAAAGCUAUGCUAUUCAAAAUAUGUUUCUUCUCGCUCUUUCGUAUAAACUAUGGUCGAACUGUUCCAGAGCCUAAAUAGCUCAGUUGGGAGAGCGUUAGAAUGAAGAUCUAAAGGUCCCUCGUUCAAUCCCGGGUUUCGGCAAACAAGUGGAUAACCGAGUAACUCCCUCGUGGCUCAAGGCAUGAUCAACAUUUUCCCCAUUCAAUUCAAAGCUAUGCUAUUGAAAAUACGUUUCAUUUCGGUCUUUUCGUUUAACUACGGUAGACCUAUUCCAGAGCCGAAAUAGCUCAGUUGGGAGAGCGUUAGACUGAAGAUCUAAAGGUCCCUGGUUCAAUCCCGGGUUUCGGCAAUCAAGUGGAUAACUGAGUAACUCCCUCGUGGAUCAUGGCAUGAUCAACAUUUUCCCCAUUCAAUUCAAAGCUAUGCUAUUGAAAAUACGUUUCAUUUUGGUCUUUUCCUUGAACUACGGUCGAACUGUUCCAGAGCCGAAAUAGCUCAGUUGGGAGAGCGUUAGACUGAAGAUCUAAAGGUCCCUGGUUCAACCCAGGGUAUCGGCAAUCAAGUGGAUAUUCGAGUAACUCCCUCGUGGCUCAAGGCAUGAUCAACAUUUUCCCCAUUCAAUUCAAAGCUAUUCUAUUGAAAAUACGUUUCAUUUUGGUCUUUUCCUUAAACUACGGUUGAUGUAUUCCAGAGCCGAAAUAGCUCAGUUGGGAGAGCGUUAGACUGAAGAUCCAAAGGUUCCUGGUUCAAUCCCGGGUUUCAGAAUUCAAGUGGAUAACCGAGUAACUCCCUCGUAGAUCAAGGAAUGAUCAACAUUUUCCCCAUUGAAUUCAAAGCUAUGCUAUUGAAAAAACGUUUCAUUUGGGUCUUUUCCUUAAACUACGGUCGUUCUAUUCCAGAGCCGAAAUAGCUCAGUUGGGAGAGCGUUAGACUGAAGAUCUAAAGGUCCCUGGUUCAAUCCCGGGUUUCGGCAAUUAAGUGCAAAACUGAUCAACUCCCUGUGGCUCAAGGCAUGAUCCGCUUUUUCCCACUUCAAUUCAAAGGUAUGCUAUUCAAAAUAUGUUUCUUCUCGCUCUUUCGUAUAAACUAUGGUCGAAUUCUUCCAGAGCCGAAAUAGCUCAGUUGGCGAGAGCGUUAGACUGAAGAUCUAAAGCUCCUUGGUUCAAUCCCGGAUUUCGGCAAUCAAGUGGAUAACCGAGUAACUCCCUGUGGCUCAAGGCAUGAUCCGCUUUUUCCCACUUCAAUUCAAAGGUAUGCUAUUCAAAAUAUGUUUCUUCUCGCUCUUUCGUAUAAACUAUGGUCGAACUGUUCCAGAGCCGAAAUAGCUCAGUUGGGACAGCGUUAGACUGAAGAUCUAAAGGUCCCUUGUUCAAUCCCGGGUUUUGGCAAUCAAGUGGAUAACCGAGUAACUCCCUCGUGGCUCAAGACAUGAUCAACAUUUUCCCCAUUCAAUUCAAAGCUAUGCUAUUGAAAAUACGUUUCAUUUCAGUCUUUUGUUAAACUACAGUAGACCUAUACCAGAGCCGAAAUAGCUCAGUUGGGACAAUGUAAACUGAAGAUCUAAAGAUCCCUGGUUCAAUCCCGGGUUUCGGCAAUGAGGGGAAACCGAGUAACUCCCUCGUGGCUCAAGGCAUGAUCAGCUUUUCCCACUUCAAUUCAAAGCUAUGCUAUUCAAAAUAUGUUCUCGCUCUUUCGUAUAAACUACGGUCGAACUGUUCCAGAGCCGAAAUAGCUCAGUUGGGAGAGCAUUAGAAUGAAGAUCUAAAGGUCCCUCGUUCAAUCCCGGGUUUCGGCAAUCAAGUGGAUAACCGAGUAACUCCCUCGUGGCUCAAGGCAUGAUCAACAUUUUCCCCAUUCAAUUCAAAGGUAUGCUAUUGAAAAUACGUUUCAUUUCGGUCUUUUCGUUAAACUACGGUAGACCUAUUCCAGAGCCGAAAUAGCUCAGUUGGGAGAGCGUUAGACUGAAGAUCUAAAGGUCCCUGGUUCAAUCCCGGGUUUCGGCAAUCAAGUGGAUAACCGAGUAACUCCCUCGUGGAUCAAGUCAUGAUCAACAUUUUCCCCAUUCAAUUCAAAGCUAUGCUAUUGAAAAUACGUUUCAUUUUGGUCUUUUCCUUGAACUACGGUCGAACUGUUCCAGAGCCGAAAUGGCUCAGUUGGGAGAGCGUUAGACUGAAGAUCUAAAGGUCCCUGGUUCAAUCCAGGGUUUCGGCAAUCAAGUGGAUAAUCGAGUAACUCACUCGUACAUCAAGGCAUGAUCAACAUUUUCCCCAUUCAAUUCAAAGCUAUGCUAUUGAAAAUACGUUUCAUUUUGGUCCUUUCCUUAAACUACGGUCGAUGUAUUCCAGAGCCGAAAUAGCUCAGUUGGGAGAGCGUUAGACUGAAGAUCCAAAAGUUCCUGGUUCAAUCCCGGGAUUCGGAAAUCAAGUGGAUAACCGAGUAACUCCCUCGUAGUUCAAGGAAUGAUCAACAUUUUCCCCAUUGAAUUCAAAGCUAUGCUAUUGAAAAUACGUUUCAUUUGGGUCUUUUCCUUAAACUACGGUUGAUCUAUUCCUGAGCCGAAAUAGCUCAGUUGGGAGAGCGUUAGACUGAAGAUCUAAAGGUCCCUGGUUCAAUCCCGGGUUUCGGCAAUUAAAUGCAAAACCCAUCAACUCCCUGUGGCUCAAGGCAUGAUCCGCUUUUUCCCACUUCAAUUCAAAGGUAUGCUAUUCAAAAUAUGUUUCUUCUCGCUCUUUCGUAUAAACUAUGGUCGAAUUCUUCCAGAGCCGAAAUAGCUCAGUUGGCGAGAGCGUUAGACUGAAGAUCUAAAGCUCCUUGGUUCAAUCCCGGAUUUCGGCAAUCAAGUGGAUAACCGAGUAACUCCCUGUGGCUCAAGGCAUGAUCCGCUUUUUCCCACUUCAAUUCAAAGGUAUGCUAUUCAAAAUAUGUUUCUUCUCGCUCUUUCGUAUAAACUAUGGUCGAACUGUUCCAGAGCCGAAAUAGCUCAGUUGGGAGAGCGUUAGACUGAAGAUCUAAAAGUCCCUGGUUCAAUCCCGGGUUUCGGCAAUCAAGUGGAUAACCGAGUAACUCCCUCGUGGCUCAAGACAUGAUCAACAUUUUCCCCAUUCAAUUCAAAGCUAUGCUAUUGAAAAUACGUUUCAUUUCAGUCUUUUGUUAAACUACAGUAGACCUAUACCAGAGCCGAAAUAGCUCAGUUGGGAGAAUGUAAACUGAAGAUCUAAAGAUCCCUGGUUCAAUCCCGGGUUUCCGCAAUUAAGUGCAAAACCGAUCAACUCCCUGUGGCUCAAGGCAUGAUCCGCUUUUUCCCACUUCAAUUCAAAGGUAUGCUAUUCAAAAUAUGUUUCUUCUUGCUCUUUCGUAUAAACUAUGGUCGAAUUGUUCCAGAGCCGAAAUAGCUCAGUUGGGAGAGCGUUAGACUGAAGAUCUAAAGGUCCCUGGUUCAAUCCCGGGUUUCGGCAAUUAAGUACAAAACCGAUCAACUCCCUGUGGCUCAAGGCUUGAUCUGCUUUUUCCCACUUCAAUUCAAAGUUAUGCUAUUCAAAAUAUGUUUCUUCUCGCUCUUUCGUAUAAACUAUGGUCGAAUUGUUCCAGAGCCGAAAUAGUUCAGUUGGGAGAGCGUUAGACUGAAGAUCUAAAAGUCCCUGGUUCAAUCCCGGGUUUCGGCAAUCAAGUGGAUAACCGAGUAACUCCCUCGUGGCUCAACACAUGAUCAACAUUUUCCCCAUUCAAUUCAAACCUAUGCUAUUGAAAAUACGUUUCAUUUCGGUCUUUUCGUUAAACUACAGUAUACCUAUUCCAGAGCCGAAAUAGCUCAGUUGGGAGAAUGUUAAACUGAAGAUCUAAAGAUCCCUGGUUCAAUCCCGGGUUUCGGCAAUGAGGGGAAACCGAGUAACUCCCUCGUGGCUCAAGGCAUGAUCAGCUUUUCCCACUUCAAUUCAAAGGUAUGCUAUUCAAAAUAUGUUUCUUCUUGCUCUUUCGUAUAAACUAUGGUCGAACUGUUCCAGAGCCGAAAUAGCUCAGUUGGGAGAGCGUUAGAAUGAAGAUCUAAAGGUCCCUGGUUCAAUCCCGGGUUUCAGCAAUCAAGUGAAUAACCGAGUAACUCCCUCGUGGCUCAAGGCAUGAUCAACAUUUUCCCCAUUCAAUUCAAAGCUAUGCUAUUGAAAAUACGUUUCAUUUCGGUCUUUUCGUUAAACUACGGUAGACCUAUUCCAGAGCCGAAAUAGCUCAGUUGGGAGAGCGUUAGACUGAAGAUCUAAAGGUCCCUGGUUCAAUCCCGGGUUUCGGCAAUCAAGUGGAUAACCGAGUAACUCCCUCGUGGAUCAACGUAUGAUCAACAUUUUCCCCAUUCAAUUCAAAGCUAUGCUAUUGAAAAUACGUUUCAUUUUGGUCUUUUCCUUGAACUACGGUCGAACUGUUCCAGAGCCGAAAUAGCUCAGUUGGGAGAGCGUUAGUCUGAAGAUCUAAAGGUCCCUGGUUCAACCCAGGGUAUCGGCAAUCAAGUGGAUAACCGAGUAACUCCCUCGUGGAUCAAGACAUGAUCAACAUUUUCCCCAUUCAAUUCAAAGCUAUGCUAUUGAAAAUACGUUUCAUUUUGGUCUUUUCCUUAAACUACGGCUGAUCUAUUCCACAGCCGAAAUAGCUCAGUUGGGAGAGCGUUAGACUGAAGAUCUAAAGGUUCCUUGUUCAAUCCCGGGUUUCUGAAAUCAAGUGGAUAACCGAGUAACUCCCUCGUAGAUCAAGGAAUGAUCAACAUUUUCCCCAUUGAAUUCAAAGAUAUGCUAUUGAAAAUACGUUUCAUUUGGGUCUUUUCCUUAAACUACGGUUGAUCUAUUCCACAGCCGAAAUAGCUCAGUUGGGAGAGCGUUAGACUGAAGAUCUAAAGGUCCCUGGUUCAAUCCCGGGUUUCGGCAAUUAAGUUCAAAACCGAUCAACUCCCUGUGGCUCAAGGCAUGAUCCGCUUUUUCCCACUUCAAUUCAAAGGUAUUCUAUUCAAAAUAUGUUUCUUCUCGCUCUUUCGUAUAAACUAUGGUCGAAUUCUUCCAGAGCCGAAAUAGCUCAGUUGGCGAGAGCGUUAGACUGAAGAUCUAAAGGUCCCUGGUUCAAUCCCGGGUUUCGGCAAUUAAAUGCAAAACCCAUCAACUCCCUGUGGCUCAAGGCAUGAUCCGCUUUUUCCCACUUCAAUUCAAAGGUAUGCUAUUCAAAAUAUGUUUCUUCUCGCUCUUUCGUAUAAACUAUGGUUGAACUGUUCCAGAGCCGACAUAGCUCAGUUGGGAGAGCGUUAGACUGAAGAUCUAAAGGUCCCUGGUUCAACCCAGGGUAUCGGCAAUCAAGUGGAUAUUCGAGUAACUCCCUCGUACAUCAAGCCAUGAUCAACAUUUUCCCCAUUCAAUUCAAAGCUAUGCUAUUGAAAAUACGUUUCAUUUUGGUCUUUUCCUUAAACUACGGUCGAUGUAUUCCAGAGCCGAAAUAGCUCAGUUGGGAGAGCGUUAGACUGAAGAUCUAAAGGUCCCUGGUUCAGUCCCGGGUUUCGGCAAUCAAGUGGAUAACCAAGUAACUCCCUCGUGGAUCAACGUAUGAUCAACAUUUUCCCCAUUCAAUUCAAAGCUAUGCUAUUGAAAAUGCGUUUUAUUUUCGUCUUUUCCUUGAACUACGGUCGAACUGUUCCACAGCCGAAAUAGCUCAGUUGGGAGAGCGUUAGACUGAAGAUCUAAAGGUCCCUGGUUCAAUCCAGGGUUUCGGCAAUCAAGUGGAUAAUCGAGUAACUCCCUCGUACAUCAAGGCAUGAUCAACAUUUUCCCCAUUCAAUUCAAAGCUAUGCUAUUGAAAAUACGUUUCAUUUCGGUCUUUUCCUUAAACUACGGUCGAACUAUUCCAGAGCCGAAAUAGCUCAGUUGGGAGAGCGUUAGACUGAAAAUCUAAAGGUCCCUGGUUCAAUCCCGGGUUUCGGCAAUCAAGUGGAUAACCAAGUAACUCCCUCGGGGAUCAAGGCAUGAUCAACAUUUUCCCCAUUCAAUUCAAACCUUUGCUUUUGAAAAUACGUUUCAUUUGGGUCUUUUCCUUAAACUACGGUCAAAUUCAGAGUCGAAAUAGCUCAGUUGGUAGAUAGUUAGACUGAAGAUCUAAAGAUCCCUGGUUCAAUACCCGGUUUCGGCAGUUAAGUGGAUAACCGAGUAACUCCCUCAUGGCUCAAGGCAUGAUCAACAUUCUCCCCAUUCAAUUCAAAGCUUUGCUAUUCAAAAUAUGUUUCUUCUCGCUCUUUUAAUUAAACUACGGUCGAACUUUUGCACAGCCGAAAUAGCUCAGUUGGGAGAGCGUUAGACUGAAGAUCUAAAGGUCCCUGGUUCAAUCCCGGGUUUCGGCAAUCAAGUGGAUAACCGAGUAACUCCCUGUGGCUCAAGGCAUGAUCAACAUUUUCCCCAUUCAAUUCAAAGCUAUGCUAUUGAAAAUACGUUUCAUUUUGGUCUUUUCCUUAAACUACGGUCAAUCUAUUCCAGAGCCGAAAUAGCUCAGUUGGGAGAGCGUUAGACUGAAGAUCUAAAGGUCCCUGGUUCAAUCCCGGGUUUCGGCAAUCAAGUGGAUGACCGAGUAACUCCCUGUGGCUCAAGGCAUGAUCCGCUUUUUCCCACUUCAAUUCAAAGGUAUGCUAUCCAAAAUAUGUUUCUUCUCGCUCUUUCGUAUAAACUACGGUCGAUGCAUUGCAGAGCCGAAAUAGCUCAGUUGGGAGAGCGUUAGACUGAAGAUCUAAAGGUCCCUGGUUCAAUCCCGGGUUUCGGCAAUCAAGUGGAUAACCGAGUAACUCCCUGUGGCUCAAGGCAUGAUCCGCUUUUUCCCACUUCAAUUCAAAGGUAUGCUAUUCAAAAUAUGUUUCUUCUCGCUCUUUCGUAUAAACUAUGGUCAAACUGUUCCUGAGCCGAAAUAGCUCAGUUGGGAGAGCCUUAGACUGAAGAUCUAAAAGUCCCUGGUUCAAUCCCGGGUUUCGGCAAUCAAGUGGAUAACCGAGUAACUCCCUCGUGGCUCAAGGCAUGAUCAACAUUUUCCCCAUUCAAUUCAAAGCUAUGCUAUUGAAAAUACGUUUCAUUUUGGACUUUUAAUUAAACUACGGUAGACCUGUUCCAGAGCCGAAAUAGCUCAGUUAGGAGACCGUUAGACUGAAGAUCUAAAGGUCCCUGGUUCAAUCCCGGGUUUCGGCAAUCAACUGGAUAACCGAGUAACUCCCUCGUGGCUCAAGGCAUGAUCAACAUUUUCCCCAUUCAAUUCAAAGCUUUGCUAUUGAAUUUAUGUUUCUUCUUGGUCUAUCGUAUAAACUACAAUCGAACUCUUCCAGAGCCGAAAUAGCUCAGUUGGGAGACCGUUAGACUGAAGAUCUAAAGAUCCCUGGUUCAAUACCCGGUUUCGGCAAUUAAGUGGAUAACCGAGUAACUCCCUCAUGGCUCAAGGUAUGACCAACAUUCUCCCCAUUCAAUUCCAAGCUUUGCUAUUCAAAAUAUGUUUCUUCUCGCUCUUUCAUAUAAACUAUGGUCGUACUGUUGCAGAGCCGAAAUAGCUCAGUUGGGAGAGCGUUAGACUGAAGAUCUAAAGGUCCCUGGUUCAAUCCCGGGUUUCGGCAAUCAACUGGAUAACUGAGUAACUCCCUCGUGGCUCAAGGCAUGACCAACAUUUUCCCCAUUCAAUUCAAAGCUAUGCUAUUGAAAAUACGUUUCAUUUUGGUCUUUUCUUUAAACUACGGUCAAUCUAUUCCAGAGCCGAAAUAGCUCAGUUGGGAGAGCGUUAGACUGAAGAUCUAAAGGUCCCUCGUUCAAUCCCGGGUUUCGGCAAUCAAGUGGAUAACCGAGUAACUCCCUGUGGCUCAAGGCAUGAUCCGCUUUUUCCCACUUCAAUUCAAAGGUAUGCUAUUCAAAAUAUGUUUCUUCUCGCUCUUUCGUAUAAACUAUGGUCGAGCUGUUCCAGAACCGAAAUAGCUCAGUUGGGAGAGCGUUAGACUGAAGAUCUAAAGGUCCCUGGUUCAAUCCCGGGUUUCGGCAAUCAAGUGGAUAACCGAGUAACUCCCUCGUGGCUCAAGGCAUGAUCAACAUUUUCCCCAUUCAAUUCAAAGCUAUGCUAUUGAAAAUACGUUUCAUUUUGGACUUUUCCUUAAACUACGGUCGCACUGUUUCACAGCCGAAAUAGCUCAGUUGGGAGACCGUUAGACUGAAGAUCUAAAGGUCCCUUGUUCAAUCCCGGGUUUCGGCAAUCAACUGGAUAACCGAGUAACUCCCUCGUGGCUCAAGGCAUGAUCAACAUUUUCCCCAUUCAAUUCAAAGCUUUGCUAUUCAAAAUAUGUUUCUUCUCGCUCUUUCGUAUAAACUAUGGUCGUACUGUUCCAGAGUCGAAAUAGCUCAGUUGGGAGAGCGUUAGACUGAAGAUCUAAAGGUCCCUGGUUCAAUCCCGGGUUUAGGCAAUGAGGGGAAAACAUAGUAAAUCACUUGUGGCUCAAGGCAUGAUCAACAUUUUCCCCAUGCAAUUCAAAGCUAUGCCAUUGAAAAUACGUUUCAUUUCGGUCUUUUCCUUAUACUACAGUGAAACUCAGAGUCAAAAUAGCUCAGUUGGUAGAGCGUUAGACUGAAGAUCUAAAGAUCCCUGGUUCAAUACCCGGUUUCUGCAAUUAAGUGGAUAACCGAGUAACUCCCUCAUGGCUCAAGGUAUGACCAACAUUCUCCCCAUUCAAUUCCAAGCUUUGCUAUUCAAAAUAUGUUUCUUCUCGCUCUUUCGUAUAAACUAUGGUCGUACUGUUCCAGAGCCGAAAUAGCUCAGUUGGGAGAGCGUUAGACUGAAGAUCUAAAGGUUCCUGGUUCAAUCCCGGAUUUCGGCAAUUAAGUGGAUAACCGAGUAACUCACUCGUGGCUCAAGGCAUGAUCAACAUUUUCCCCAUUCAAUUCAAAGCUAUGCUAUUGAAAAUACGUUUCAUUUCGGUCUUUUAAUUAAACUACGGUAGACCUGUUCCAGAGCCGAAAUAGCUCAGUUGGAAGAGCGUUAGACUGAAGAUCUAAAGGUCCCUGGUUCAAUCCCGGGUUUCAGCAAUGAGGGGAAACCGAGUAACUCCCUCGUGGCUCAAGGCAUGAUCAGCUUUUCCCACUUCAAUUCAAAGGUAUGCUAUUCAAAAUAUGUUUCUUCUUGCUCUUUCGUAUAAACUAUGGUCGAACUGUUCCAGAGCCGAAAUAGCUCAGUUGGGAGAGCGUUAGACUGAAGAUCUAAAGGUCCCUGGUUCAAUCCAGGGUUUCGGCAAUCAAGUGGAUAAUCGAGUAACUCCCUCGUACAUCAAGGCAUGAUCAACAUUUUCCCCAUUCAAUUCAAAGCUAUGCUAUUGAAAAUACGUUUCAUUUCUGUCUUUUCCUUAUACUACAGUCAAAUUCAGAGUCGAAAUAGCUCAGUUGGUAGAGAGUUAGACUGAAGAUCUAAAGAUCCCUGGUUCAAUACCCGGUUUCGGCAAUUAAGUGGAUAACCGAGUAACUACCUCAUGGCUCAAGGCAUGACCAACAUUCUCCCCAUUCAAUUCAAAGCUUUGCUAUUCAAAAUAUGUUUCUUCUCGCUCUUUUAAUUAAACUACGGUCGAACUGUUCCACAGCCGAAAUAGCUCAGUUGGGAGAGCGUUAGACUGAAGAUCUAAAGGUCCCUGGUUCAAUCCCGGGUUUCGGCAAUCAAGUGGAUAACCGAGUAACUCCCUCGUGGCUCAAGGCAUGAUCAACAUUUUCCCCAUUCAAUUCAAAGCUAUGCUAUUGAAAAUACGUUUCAUUUUGGACUUUUCCUUAAACUACGGUCGCACCGUUUCACAGCCGAAAUAGCUCAGUUGGGAGAGCGUUAGACUGAAGAUCUAAAGGUCCCUGGUUCAAUCCCGGGUUUCGGCAAUCAAGUAGAUAACCGAGUAACUCCCUCGUGGCUCAAGGCAUGAUCAACAUUUUCCCCAUUCAAUUCAAAGCUAUGCUAUUGAAAAUACGUUUCAUUUGGGUCUUUUCCUUAAACUACGGUCGAACUGUUCCAGAGCCGAAAUAGCUCAGUUAGGAGAGUGUUAGACUGAAGAUCUAAAGGUCCCUGGUUCAAUCCCGGGUUUCAGCAAUCAAGUGCAAAACCGAGUAACUCCCUGUGGCUCAAGGCAUGAUCUGCUUUUUCCCACUUCAAUUCAAAGGUAUGCUAUUGAAAAUACGUUUCAUUUCGGUCUUUUCGUUAAACUACGGUAGACCUAAUCAAGAGCCGAAAUAGCUCAGUUGGGAGAGCGUUAGACUGAAGAUCUAAAGGUCCCUGGUUCAAUCCCGGGUUUCAGCAAUGAUGGGAAACCGAGUAACUCCCUCGUGGCUCAAGGCAUGAUCAGCUUUUCCCACUUCAAUUCAAAGGUAUGCUAUUCAAAAUAUGUUUCUUCUUGCUCUUUCGUAUAAACUAUGGUCGAACUGUUCCAGAGCCGAAAUAGCUCAGUUGGGAGAGCGUUAGACUGAAGAUCUAAAGGUCCCUGGUUCAAUCCCGGGUUUCGGCAAUCAAGUGGAUAACCAAGUAACUCCCUCGUACAUCAAGGCAUGAUCAACAUUUUCCCCAUUCAAUUCAAAGCUAUGCUAUUGAAAAUACGUUUCAUUUUGGUCUUUUCCUUAAACUACGGUCAAUCUAUUCCAGAGCCGAAAUAGCUCAGUUGGGAGAGCGUUAGACUGAAGAUCUAAAGGUCCCUGGUUCAAUCCCGGGUUUCGGCAAUCAAGUGGAUAACCGAGUAACUCCCUCUGGCUCAAGGCAUGAUCCAACAUUUUCCCCAUUCAAUUCAAAGCUAUGCUAUUCAAAAUAUGUUUCUUCUCGCUCUUUUAUAAACUACGGUCGAACUGUUCCACAGCCGAAAUAGCUCAGUUGGGAGAGCGUUAGACUGAAGAUCUAAAGGUCCCUGGUUCAAUCCCGGGUUUCGGCAAUCAAGUGGAUAACCGAGUAACUCCCUCGUGGAUCAAGUCAUGAUCAACAUUUUCCCCAUUCAAUUCAAAGCUAUGCUAUUGAAAAUACGUUUCAUUUUGGUCUUUUCCUUAAACUACGGCUGAUCUAUUCCACAGCCGAAAUAGCUCAGUUGGGAGAGCGUUAGACUGAAGAUCUAAAGGUCCCUGGUUCAAUCCCGGGUUUCGGCAAUCAAGUGGAUAACCGAGUAACUCCCUUGUGGAUCAAGUCAUGAUCAACAUUUUCCCCAUUCAAUUCAAAGCUAUGCUAUUGAAAAUACGUUUCAUUUGGGUCUUUUCCUUAAACUACGGUCGAACUAUUCCAGAGCCGAAAUAGCUCAGUUGGGAGAGCGUUAGACUGAAGAUCUAAAGGUCCCUGGUUCAAUCCCGGGUUUCAGCAAUCAAGUGCAAAACCGAGUAACUCCCUGUGGCUCAAGGCAUGAUCUGCUUUUUCCCACUUCAAUUCAAAGGUAUGCUAUUGAAAAUACGUUUCAUUUCGGUCUUUUCGUUAAACUACGGUAGACCUAAUCAAGAGCCGAAAUAGCUCAGUUGGGAGAGCGUUAGACUGAAGAUCUAAAGGUCCCUGGUUCAAUCCCGGGUUUCAGCAAUGAGGGGAAACCGAGUAACUCCCUCGUGGCUCAAGGCAUGAUCAGCUUUUCUCAAUUCAAAGGUAUCCUAUUCAAAAUAUGUUUCUUCUUGCUCUUUCGUAUAAACUAUGGUCGAACUGUUGCAGAGCCGAAAUAGCUCAGUUGGGAGAGCGUUAGACUGAAGAUCUAAAGGUCCCUGGUUCAACCCAGGGUAUCGGCAAUCAAGUGGAUAUUCGAGUAACUCCCUCGUACAUCAAGGCAUGAUCAACAUUUUCCCCAUUCAAUUCAAAGCUAUGCUAUUGAAAAUACGUUUCAUUUCUGUCUUUUCCUUAUACUACAGUCAAAUUCAGAGUCGAAAUAGCUCAGUUGGUAGAGAGUUAGACUGAAGAUCUAAAGAUCCCUGGUUCAAUACCCGGUUUCGGCAAUUAAGUGGAUAACCGAGUAACUACCUCAUGGCUCAAGGCAUGACCAACAUUCUCCCCAUUCAAUUCAAAGCUUUGCUAUUCAAAAUAUGUUUCUUCUCGCUCUUUUAAUUAAACUACGGUCGAACUGUUCCAGAGCCGAAAUAGCUCAGUUGGGAGAGCGUUAGACUGAAGAUCUAAAGGUCCCUGGUUCAAUCCCGGGUUUCGGCAAUCAAGUGGAUAACCGAGUAACUCCCUCGUGGAUCAAGUAUGAUCAACAUUUUCCCCAUUCAAUUCAAAGCUAUGCUAUUGAAAAUACGUUUCAUUUUGGUCUUUUCCUUAAACUACGGCUGAUCUAUUCCACAGCCGAAAUAGCUCAGUUGGGAGAGCGUUAGACUGAAGAUCUAAAGGUCCCUGGUUCAAUCCCGGGUUUCGGCAAUCAAGUGGAUAACCGAGUAACUCCCUUGUGGAUCAAGUCAUGAUCAACAUUUUCCCCAUUCAAUUCAAAGCUAUGCUAUUGAAAAUACGUUUCAUUUGGGUCUUUUCCUUAAACUACGGUCGAACUGUUCCAGAGCCGAAAUAGCUCAGUUGGGAGAGCGUUAGACUGAAGAUCUAAAGGUCCCUGGUUCAAUCCCGGGUUUCGGCAAUCAAGUGGAUAACCGAGUAACUCCCUCGUGGCUCAAGACAUGAUCAACAUUUUCCCACUUCAAUUCAAAGGUAUGCUAUUGAAAAUACGUUUCAUUUCGGUCUUUUCGUUAAACUACGGUAGACCUAUUCCAGAGCCGAAAUAGCUCAGUUGGGAGAGCGUUAGACUGAAGAUCUAAAGGUCCCUGGUUCAAUCCCGGGUUUCAGCAAUGAGGGGAAACCGAGUAACUCCCUCGUGGCUCAAGGCAUGAUCAGCUUUUCCCACUUCAAUUCAAAGGUAUGCUAUUCAAAAUAUGUUUCUUCUUGCUCUUUCGUAUAAACUAUGGUCGAACUGUUCCAGAGCCGAAAUAGCUCAGUUGGGAGAGCGUUAGACUGAAGAUCUAAAGGUCCCUGGUUCAACCCAGGGUAUUGGCAAUCAAGUGGAUAUUCGAGUAACUCCCUCGUACAUCAACGUAUGACCAACAUUCUCCCCAUUCAAUUCAAAGCUAUGCUAUUGAAAAUACGUUUCAUUUCUGGUCUUUUCCUUAAACUACAGUCAAAUUUCCAGAGCCGAAAUAGCUCAGUUGGUAGAGCGUUAGACUGAAGAUCUAAAGAUCCCUGGUUCAAUACCCGGUUUCGGCAAUUAAGUGGAUAACCGAGUAACUCCCUCAUGGCUCAAGGCAUGACCAACAUUCUCCCCAUUCAAUUCAAAGCUUUGCUAUUCAAAAUAUGUUUCUUCUCGCUCUUUUAAUUAAACUACGGUCGACUUGUUCCACAGCCGAAAUAGCUCAGUUGGGAGAGCGUUAGACUGAAGAUCUAAAGGUCCCUGGUUCAAUCCCGGGUUUCGGCAAUCAAGUGGAUAACCGAGUAAGUCCCUCGUGGCUCAAGGCAUGAUCAACAUUUUCCCCAUUCAAUUCAAAGCUAUGCUAUUGAAAAUACGUUUCAUUUUGGUCUUUUCUUUAAACUACGGUCAAUCUAUUCCAGAGCCGAAAUAGCUCAGUUGGGAGAGCGUUAGACUGAAGAUCUAAAGGUCCCUGUUUCAAUCUCGGGGUUCGGCAAUUAAGUGGAUAACCGAGUAACUCACUCGUGGCUCAAGGCAUGAUCAACAUUUUCCCCAUUCAAUUCAAAGCUAUGCUAUUGAAAAUACGUUUCAUUUCGGUCUUUUAAUUAAACUACGGUAGACCUGUUCCAGAGCCGAAAUAGCUCAGUUGGGAGAGCGUUAGACUGAAGAUCCAAAGGUCCCUGGUUCAAUCCCGGGUUUCUGCAAUUAAGUGCAAAACUCUUCAACUCCCUCGUGGCUCAAGGCAUGAUCAACUUUUUCCCACUUCAAUUCAAAGGUAUGCUAUUGAAAAUACGUUUCAUUUCGGUCUUUUCCUUAAACUACGGUCGAACUGUUCCAGAGCCAAAAUAGCUCAGUUGGGAGAGCGUUAGACUGAAGAUCUAAAGGUCCCUGGUUCAAUCCUGGGUUUCGGCAAUGAGGGGAAAACAUAGUAACUCCUUCUCGGCUCAAGGCAUGAUCAACUUUUUCCCACUUCAAUUCAAAGGUAUGCUAUUGAAAAAAACGUUUCAUUUCGGUCUUUUCGUUAAACUAUGGUCGACCUGUUCCAGAGCUGAAAUAGCUCAGUUGGGAGAGCCUUAGACUGAAGAUCUAAGGGUCACUGGUUCAAUACCGGGUGCCAGCAAUUAAGUGGCAACCCAACUUACUCCCUCGUAUCUCAAGGCAUCACCAACAAUUUUCCCAUUCAAUUCAAAGGUAUGCUAUUGAAAAUACGUUUCAUUUUGGUCUUUUCCUUAAACUACGGUCGAUGUAUUCCAGAGCCGAAAUAGCUCAGUUGGGAGAGCGUUAGACUGAAGAUCUAAAGGUCCCUGGUUCAGUCCCGGGUUUCAGCAAUGAUGGGAAACCGAGUAACUCCCUCGUGGCUCAAGGCAUGAUCAGCUUUUCUCAAUUCAAAGGUAUCCUAUUCAAAAUAUGUUUCUUCUCGGUCUUUCGCUUAAACUACGGUCGAACUCUUCCAGAGCCGAAACAGCUCAGUUGGGAGAGCGUUAGACUGUUGAUCUUAAGGUCCCUGGUUCAAUCCCAGGGUUCGGCAAUUUAGUGGAAAAC